GUUUUUGAUUAAUGAAGCAUGUAAUUCCCGGAAAACUCAUUAGAAAUUUCCCAUUUUAAAUGGGAAAACAAAUUACUUUAAUUAUUGGUACUGAUUGCAUGUGUCAAAUUAAAAAAGGUUUAUUUUUACAAAUAAAAAACGGCUUUAUUUUACGCAACAUAUAAAACCACACACAUAAUCAUCUGAAGUAAAUGUAAUGUGAUUUAUUUUUAUCGUUCGUUUAAUAAUCAUCGAUUAUAUUGAAUGUGGUGGAAAUUUAUAUGCAAAUUGGUAUAGGUAGUAACUAACGGUUGAAUAAUAAUGCGGAAGGAAUUUUUUUACACAAUUUAUAAAUUUUAAAAAUGCUUAUUUUUUCCAUGAAAAGUACAAUUAACUUUCACUUAAUUGUAGGAACGUAUUGCUUUUUUUAGCACAUUUUCUGUUAGCGCUUUUAAAAGUUUUUGCUGCAAUAUGGAAAUAUUUUAUUAUUUUUGCACAAAAGACCAAUUAACUUUGAAGAUAAAUUGAAGAUUUACUUCUAAUAUACUGCAAAGGACAAAGAAGUCAUACACUGUAGAAUAAAUUUACCAGCCCUUACAUACCAAGAGGUAAUUGUUUAUUAUAAUCGGUUUUGAAAAGGGAUGUUGGCAUUAUUACGGUCAAUACGGAGGGAUAACAAACAUUCCCUUUGCACAUGGUUAUCCGACUCGUUGCUCAGCUGAAUCGAACGGCAAGGUUGAUCAGGGUGGUCUGGGAUUGUACCGUUGUCCCGGACGAAAGCAACGGGCAACGGAGCUGGUGUAGAGUAGGUAACCACCACGACGCUGGACCCGUUGCCGAUUGUGACGAAUUAGCGCAGACUCUCCAAGGAAAUCAGCGACGUCUUCCUAGGCUACGGCACGCAAGCCCUGAAUUUGGCCUGCCUCCCUUUUACGGAUAACACCCUGUCGCUAUCAAGUACCACGACGGUCAAUGUCUUUAGUCCCGGUCGUUAGCUGAGCAUGAACAUUACUACUUCUUGCACAGGGAUUACGUUUUAUCAUGAGGCUGUGAAAUCAAUAGAAAAAAGGUAUACUUAUCCAUUUGACUUAAUAACGUUAUUUUAUUAAAAGCGUUAAUUCCUUAGCAAAAUGGUUUAUAUAUUAAUCAAUUAAUUGGAAUCAAGUGGUGAUAUGUUAGGCCAUCAACAGCGACACAGUAUCAGUUACUGCAAUGAGACUCUACCAAGUCGAUGGGGUAGUUUGGCAAACGAGCACGCUUUUAUAGAUCUGCUGGAUGGCGAUCACGCACAAGUACAGCCCUUAACCCUUACCCUUGCACCUAUCAAUUCUAAUAUUUAUGCUAGAAGACAUUCUUCGCACAAUUGUCAAAGCACAGUAGAUAAUGCCACACCGAUACCCCCUCCAGUACCCUUACGUAAACCCCCCGUUCAGAAUUCUAAUGUUACAUUGCCGACAUCGUUUCAAGAGGUGACAAAUAUCGACAGGCGACCACCGCCUCUUCCUCCAACUCCAAAAAAUAGAGCAUUGCCAGAAUCACUUCGACACCACGCAAAACCUCAACCUCCACCCAGAGGUGUUCGUUUUGUUUAUUCCGACAAACAAUAUUCUCCAAAAUCUGGCAAACAAACUAAUACCUGUCCAAAUGUAUUUGAUUUUACUGCAGCUAAUUCAACAUCUGUUCAAAAACUUACAAAUAACAUAAAUUCUACCACUAAUGCUGGCACAAUUUAUAGUAACGGAAAUGCAUGCGAGAAAUAUAAUCGCAUUACGUUCCAAAAAAACGUUCAACACAAUCAGUCUUCUAAUACGAAAUCUUUAACACGCCAAGACAUGAGUAUCUCAAGCGACAGUUGUAGCCAGACGUCAUCGCCUUCUUAUACAAUUAAAACCAUGGGAACGCCUUUAAUUCCUUUGAGAAACUCGGGAAAGCAUCAGAACGGUGGGAUUUUUAAUAAAUUACAAAAAGAUGGGAAAGAAGCGAAAGAACGAAAUAGUCCCUUAACAAAAAGUGCUUCAACUCCUGCCAGCUUACAAGCUAUUGUUAAAUUGCAACAUGGAUCUAACGCUUCUCUACAUCACAAGAUUAUUAAAGACAUGAGAAGACCGUCAAGUAUAUCUGUUAAAAGAGUGAAACUAAAAUUCCAAUUUGCCCAAAUAUUAAUAAACGCAGUUGCUCUUUUGGCUAUAGGCGGAGGAAUGGCAGCUUACCUGAAAGGUAGCUCUCAACCACCUGCAGUUCAAAUAAUAAAUAAGCCGAUAAAUUACACCACCAAACAAUUUAUAGUUUCUCCUUCAACAGUUCCCUCUAACCCAGCUCCUGGAAUAUGUCUCCCAGUGAUAGUAGAUUUUUGCCAUCACCACAAUGUCCCCUACAAUUAUACUGUAUUUCCUAAUUACCUAGGACACUUUAGUCAAAGGGACGCAGACCUUGAACUUGAAGCGUACGAUGCGGUUGUAGAUGUUAGAUGUUACGAGCUAGCAGCUUUAUUUCUCUGUUCUGUUUUUGUUCCUAAAUGUGGAGAAUCAGGUGUUAUGAUUCGUCCGUGUCGCAACCUGUGUGAUGAAACCAAAAGACGAUGUGGCUUUUUCUUAGACGUUUUUGGAUUAGCUUUACCAAAUUAUUUGGAAUGUGGUCUUUUUCCUGACUCUUCAGAUCCAGAAAAAUGUGUAGGUCAUAAAGAAGUAAUGGAAGCCAAAUUACGAGCACAAAAACCGAUAUGCCCAUCAGGGUUCCAGUGUGAUGUCAGAAGAUGUAUUCCAAAAGAAUGGAGAUGCGACGGGCACAUAGAUUGCAAGGACCAAUCUGACGAAUUAAAUUGCCAUAAAUGUAGCCCUGGAAUGAUUCACUGUGGUAACGACCGAUGUAUGGCGCAAGAACAAAUGUGCGAUGGAAAAGUAGAUUGUCCCAUGGGACAAGAUGAAAGGAAUUGUCUACGUCUGAGUGAAAGAAAUGGAGACGAAGGUAAAGGACAAUUAGAGAUUUUUCGCCCAGAAUUUCAAAAAUGGGUCCCUGCUUGUAUUACCCACUGGAAUGAAACAAAGUCAGCUUUAAAUAUCUGUUCUUUAUUAGGAUACUCGUCUGUUAACUCAAGUCGCCUUUUAAAUGGGAGUAAUCUAAAUUCUGAACUCGUUCAAGAGAACACUGCAUUGUGGUGGAUGCAUCAGAAUAGGCGUUCCAAGAACUUGCUACGAGAAUUUAGUUCUUGCAAAGGCAGUUAUACAACAGUUGAUCUAACUUGCACUAAUUUUCGUUGUGGUAAAACUAGGAAAUCGUAUGCUGAAAAGUCAUUAAGAAUAAUAGGCGGAGUUAAAUCACGCCCUGGAGAUUGGCCGUUCUUAGCUGCACUUUUGGGCGGACCUGAAGAAAUUUUUUAUUGCGCAGGAGUUCUUAUAGCUGAUCAGUGGGUUCUAACAGCUUCACAUUGUGUCGGCAAUCAUUCUGAUGUAAACGGUUGGACAAUUCAAUUGGGUAUCACUAGGAGGCAUGCACAUUCAUAUUAUGGUCAAAAAAUGAAAGUUCAACGUGUUGUUCCACAUCCAUUGUAUAAUGUUGGUACUGCUCACGAUAACGAUGUUGCUUUAUUUCAGUUAGCAUCAAGAGUUACAUUUCACGAGCAUCUAUUGCCGGUGUGUCUUCCAUCUUCUACUAAAGAACUUCGACCUGGAACUGUGUGUACAGUCAUUGGCUGGGGAAAAAAGGAAGACAAAGGAAUGUCAGAAUACGAGCCGGAGAUCAAUGAAGUAGAAGUUCCAGUUUUGAACCGUGAACUUUGCAACGCAUGGCUUGAGAAUCAAGACCUUAACGUCACCAAUGGAAUGAUCUGCGCUGGUUAUAAGGAAGGAGGAAAAGACGCUUGUCAGAUUGGCCAAUGAAUGGCAGCAGUUAUUUAUUGUGCUAUUCAAACAAUAAAUCAUCUAUGUACGUGCCUUUUAUACUGUACAUCAUUUGCUGUUCUGGUUUUUGACUUGGAAAUACUUUGGCAAUUAUAAUGAAGUACUUGAAACUAUUCACUUAUGGAGUUUUCUUCCUGUGUUUUGGGUUAUUGACUGCGGAAGUGAAGACUGCUUUGUUCUUAUACGAGAAUUGUUCUUUCCAAAUCAUCAAUACUACAUUGAAAAGUUGAUCGAUCAAUCCAGCUGAAAUAAAUUGAUCUUCCUUUGGUGUAACUUCUUCAUCUUGCAACAUUAUGCAGUUGGUUUUCCACCAAUGAGCGAAAAAACUACAAAGUUUUCUUGGAUUCCACCAAGGUAAUAAUUUGUCUGCAAUAGUAUCGUGCCCGGAUUUGGAUUGUCCGUCAUACUUGUAGACAUUAGAACGCUACUUUCUGGAGUUAAUUUAGACAGGAUACAGUGGGUUAUCUGGAAUAGGAGCAAUAGGCGACUGCCGAGCUUGCCUUGGCGAAAUCUGUCCGACCUUCUCUUCGAAAUCCAUUAGACUUUGUCGUUCUGCUAAUUUCUCCAUUCGCUUCAAGAUACUCUAGGAAGACUGAAGACGUAUUUUAUUACUUUUUAUUGUAUUUUCUUUUAAAUUUCAUUUGUUUUCUUGUUCUUCCCUUACAGGUACUUUGUACCUUAAUUUAUAAACUGUACAUUAAUAUAACAGUACUUAGACUGUUAGUUAAAACCCUUCUACAUUUAUAUUUUGGCAUCAUUGUUAAAACCAAAUUAAAUAUUUAUUAACGCUUUCAUAGUUAUUAUUCAUUUUGGUGGAUAAGGUGGCCAUAGGGGGAGAUAAUGACCACAUUUAUAUCCCAAAUAUAAUAAAUAUUGAUGAGUGUAAAUAAUAUGCUGAAUUUUUUGUAUUUUCUUGUCUUUCUCUUUCAACUGUUUUGUAUUUCACUUUAUUAUUUCUACGAUUAUUAUUAACAAACAGUAGAGUAUUUCUUCACUUUAGUAUAUUGUCCUACAUGUAAUUUUGAAUUAACUCAAUUGUAAUUUAGUGUGAUAGGUACAACCCUUCUAAAUUGCUUUUUACUGUAUUUUCUUUGAAAUUCAAAUUGUCUUCUUUUUCUUACAGGUAUUUUGUUUUUCACUUUGUAAACUGUUGAAUUAACUCAAUUGUAAUUAGGUGUAAUAGAUAAAACCUUUCUAAAUUGC
rnacentral:misc_RNA from 1 species